AACCUCCGCAAUGUGAGAAAUCGCGACGGGGGGAUCCCAAGUGCCAUUCUUAACGGGAUGGCUUUUCAUUAGUGUAAAGAGCUUUUGGAAUAAGAGCUGGGCAAGACCGGUGCCAGCCGCCGCGGUAACACCGGCAGCUCUAGUGGUAGCAAUUUUUAUUGGGCCUAAAGCGUCCGUAGCCGGUUUAAUAAGUCUCUGGUGAAAUCCUGCAGCUUAACUGUGGGAAUUGCUGGAGAUACUAUUAGACUUGAGACCGGGAGAGGUUGGAGGUACUCCCAGGGUAGAGGUGAAAUUCUGUAAUCCUGGGAGGACCGCCUGUUGCGAAGGCGUCUAACUGGAACGGUUCUGACGGUGAGGGACGAAAGUUAGGGGCGCGAACCGGAUUAGAUACCCGGGUAGUCCUAACUGUAAACGAUGCGGACUUGGUGUUGGGGUGGCUUUGAGCUGUCCCAGUGCCGAAGGGAAGCUGUUAAGUCCGCCGCCUGGGAAGUACGGUCGCAAGACUGAAACUUAAAGGAAUU
rnacentral:rRNA from 1 species